AAAAUCCCACCGCCCUGUUACUUCACCUAAUCGCUCUUUUUCAUCGACCAAACGACCACCGAUUGGUUCAUCUUCUCAAGAACUCAACCAGCUAAAGCCACCGAGAACACUAUAGCUCGUCGGAAACCUAGCUGAAACAGUGACAAGCUCGUCAGAAAAUGAGUUGAAACCACCACCAAAGCCUCGCCUGGACACUACUGCUUCAUCUUUCUUCCGCCCGUUAAACCUUAGGGCUUUGCUCGAUUCAAAAAGUACUCCAACGACCUAUCAUAAUGUGAAAUUCUCUGCGCUUGAGACCAAGUCGAGAUCUGUCGAUUUAAAGUUCAUUGCUUGGAGCUUCGAACAGAGGUCCCCGUUCGAGGUUUUCCGACGAGGUCGAUAUUGAGUGCUGGUCCCUGGUUCUAUCCAUUUCUGUUUGUUCAAGUUAUUAAAAGUCAAGUUUUAGACGAGAAAAAUUUACGUUGAAGUUCAAAGAUGCUAUAUAGAAAUUGGUAUGGUAAUUUUUAGUUUAUAACUUUGCCGCAUGUCUUUUGAUUCCCU
rnacentral:lncRNA from 1 species